UACAGAGGGGGCGAGCGUUGUUCGGAAUUACUGGGCGUAAAGGGCGCGUAGGCGGCCUUCUAAGUCGAACGUGAAAUCCCCGGGCUCAACCCGGGAACUGCGUCCGAUACUGGGGGGCUUGAAUCCGGGAGAGGGAUGUGGAAUUCCAGGUGUAGCGGUGAAAUGCGUAGAUAUCUGGAGGAAUACCGGUGGCGAAGGCGGCAUCCUGGACCGGCAUUGACGCUGAGGAGCGAAAGCUAGGGGAGCAAACGGG
rnacentral:rRNA from 1 species